rnacentral:rRNA from 1 species
AGAGUUUGAUCCUGGCUCAGAUUGAACGCUGGCGGCAUGCUUUACACAUGCAAGUCGAACGGCAGCACGGGUGCUUGCACCUGGUGGCGAGUGGCGAACGGGUGAGUAAUAUAUCGGAACAUGUCCGGAAGUGGGGGAUAACGUAGCGAAAGUUACGCUAAUACCGCAUAUGCCCUGAGGGGGAAAGGGGGGGAUCGCAAGACCUCUCGCUUUCGGAGUGGCCGAUAUCGGAUUAGCUAGUAGGUGAGGUAAAGGCUCACCUAGGCGACGAUCCGUAGCUGGUCUGAGAGGACGACCAGCCACACUGGGACUGAGACACGGCCCAGACUCCUACGGGAGGCAGCAGUGGGGAAUUUUGGACAAUGGGCGCAAGCCUGAUCCAGCCAUGCCGCGUGAGUGAAGAAGGCCUUCGGGUUGUAAAGCUCUUUCAGCUGGAAAGAAAACGUACUUAUUAAUACUAGGUGCGGAUGACGGUACCAGCAGAAGAAGCACCGGCUAACUACGUGCCAGCAGCUGCGGUAAUACGUAGGGUGCGAGCGUUAAUCGGAAUUACUGGGCGUAAAGCGUGCGCAGGCGGCUUUUUAAGCCAGAUGUGAAAUUCCCGGGCUUAACCUGGGAACUGCAUUUGGAACUGGAAGGCUAGAGUGUAGCAGAGGGGGGUAGAAUUCCACGUGUAGCAGUGAAAUGCGUAGAGAUGUGGAGGAAUACCGAUGGCGAAGGCAGCCCCCUGGGCUAACACUGACGCUCAUGCACGAAAGCGUGGGGAGCAAACAGGAUUAGAUACCCUGGUAGUCCACGCCCUAAACGAUGUCAACUAGGUGUUGGGGAAGGAGACUUCUUUAGUACCGCAGCUAACGCGUGAAGUUGACCGCCUGGGGAGUACGGUCGCAAGAUUAAAACUCAAAGGAAUUGAUGG